rnacentral:rRNA from 1 species
UACGAGGGGGGCGAGCGUUGUUCGGAAUUAUUGGGCGUAAAGGGUGCGUAGGCGGUUUGGUAAGUCUUGUGUGAAAUCUCUGGGCUCAACUCAGAGUCUGCACGAGAAACUGCCGGGCUUGAGUGUGGGAGAGGUGAGUGGAAUUCCUGGUGUAGCGGUGAAAUGCGUAGAUAUCAGGAGGAACACCUGUGGCGAAAGCGGCUCACUGGACCAUAACUGACGCUGAUGCACGAAAGCUAGGGGAGCAAACAGG